rnacentral:rRNA from 1 species
CACUGGUACUCGAGUGGCGAACGGGUGAGUAACACGUGGGUGAUCUGCCUUGCACUCUGGGAUAAGCUUGGGAAACUGGGUCUAAUACCGGAUAGGAACCGUCUUUAGUGUGGUGGUUGGAAAGUUUUUUCGGUGCAAGAUGGGCUCGCGGCCUAUCAGCUUGUUGGUGGGGUAAUGGCCUACCAAGGCGUCGACGGGUAGCCGGCCUGAGAGGGUGUACGGCCACAUUGGGACUGAGAUACGGCCCAG